CAGCAGCCACGGUAAUACGUAGGGUGCGAGCGUUAAUCGGAAUUACUGGGCGUAAAGCGUGCGCAGGCGGUUCGUUAAGACAGAUGUGAAAUCCCCGGGCUUAACCUGGGAACUGCAUUUGUGACUGGCGAGCUAGAGUAUGGCAGAGGGGGGUAGAAUUCCACGUGUAGCAGUGAAAUGCGUAGAGAUGUUGAGGAAUACCGAUGGCGAAGGCAGCCCCCUGGGCCAAUACUGACGCUCAUGCACGAAAGCGUGGGGAGCAAACAGGAUUAGAUACCCCCGUAGUCCCUGUCUCUUAUAC
rnacentral:rRNA from 1 species